AGUAUAAACAACCCUGGGCCACUCUGGGAAGUGUGGUAUAUGAAUCAAACAAACAAACAAACAAACAGACAGACAGACAAAACUGUCUAACAUGAUCAGAGUGUUGGGUUAUCUGGCCUACAACUAUCUACUCUGAUUGGCAGCAACUUUUCAUGAUCACAGGCUGAGGAAGCUAACUCUACAGACUGCAUAACCCACACUGGAGCCUGCCACUAGUACCUGGAUCAAUUGGAGGAUCAAUGCAGGCCAAUGCACCCUGUGAGUAUUGUGGAGAUCAAAAGCACUGAAUUAGUAAUUCUGUCCCCUAAAUUAGGACCAGCUGGAUGGACCCCAGCUUCCAUUUGCACACUGGCAAUAAGUCAGAACCACAAAUUAUGCCACUCAUUGCAAACAAUAUGCAAUGCCAGAGAGUCAGCAUCCACCAAGGAACAGCUUGGAUCUGCAGAAAAUGAAGAACUACACAUUAGACUGUCUACCAGGGCUGAUGCUGGCACUUCCGAUGCUUCAGAAGCUGCCACCUCCACAUCCUCUGCUUCUGGCACCUAAAGAGAAUUCAUCUUCACAUAUUAAGAUGGAAGGGGGAAACAACAAAACUGUCCCACUCUCUAUGUUAGAUCCACAGAAGAGAUGAAGCCACAUGGGCUCUUUGCUGCUUCCCCAUCCAUUUCCUGCCAUUCUUUCCUUUCCAGAUAUAGUUGACUCCUUUCCAGUCUGAAAGAUGCUCUCUUGAUAGCAUGCAAAAAUGAGCAAGCACGACUGGAUGUCAUUGAACGUUGCAUUUUAAUUUGAACUGGCAUUUAUGAUCUUAUUGCUUUAGAUUUAUAUUGCAAACAUUCUUGCGGUAACGAAGAACAAUUUUGGUGAUUGCUGAUAUCAAUGAGGUGUUUCAUUCACAGCUAUGUCUGGACCCUAACAUAUGCUUUUUUGAUGUUAAAAUCAUUGGUAUUGCAAGGCAAUGCAGUUAUGUACAUUAUUGGAAAUAAUGCAUAUUAUAUUUAGUCCUGUGGAAGUGCGAUUAUACAUUUUAAAGUAGUAGUGAAUGAGCAACAUUGUGAGUGUUGCCUUAGACACCUGCAGAAGCACAGGUAGUUCAGACCUGCCCUCACUGCCUUGUGCAAGAUCAUCCCUAAGAAGUAUCAAGAGCUUCUUGUAUACAACAUUAACAUCAAUUAGAAUACUAUUUUGAGUCCAGGAAUCCAAGACCAAGAAAGGCAGAAAUAAGAUUAUGGAGCAGUUAAGACUGGUUAAUCUAACAGCUUUUCAAAAACCAGCAACUAAACAGCAAGAUGCAACUCACUUGUAGACACCAGUGGCAUUUUACAUUACAAAUAGGCUUUCAAUCUUAGGCUGCAAUCACGAUAUGAAUCUGCAUUAAAAUGUUGGCCUGUUUUAGAUGCUGUGUUUGUUUUGGUAAAUAGUUCACUGUAUGUAUUGUAAAUAUAUAACUGCGUUGUUAUAAAUUAAGGUGCUUGGGAGACUUUCCAUUGAUUAAAAUGAUGGGGAACAUUGCUGUCCAGAAGAGA